UACGUAGGGUGCGAGCGUUGCCCGGAUUUAUUGGGCGUAAAGGGCGCGUAGGCGGCUCUGCACGUCCGUUGUGAAAUCGCCCGGCUCAACUGGGCGGGGUCAGCGGAUACGGCGGAGCUUGAGCAAGCUAGGGGGCAGAUGGAAUUCCGGGUGUAGCGGUGGAAUGCGUAGAGAUCCGGAAGAACACCGGUGGCGAAGGCGGUCUGCUGGGCCAAGACUGACGCUGAGGCGCGACAGCGUGGGGAGCAAACAGG
rnacentral:rRNA from 1 species